GAAGGCGAUGGCAGAGAUGUGUUCCCGUUUGCUUCUUCUGAUCACAGAAAAUCAGAUUCCAUUUAUCAGUUUCCUAUGCUUGGCUACAUCAUCCCUCUCAGGCAGACAUUGUGAUACUUCACUGCUGCUCAGUCCCGGCAUCGUAACAUUCAGUCCUUUGUAUCCACAGAUUCCGCAUCUAUAAAUUCUACCAUCCAUGAUUGGAAAAUAUUCCAAAAAGCAAUGUUUGAAGUUGCCAUUUUAGAUAAGAGACAGCACCACUGUAUAUAACUGGAUGAGCAUUCAUGGAUUUUGGUAUUCACAGAGGGUGGUGGAACCAAAGCCUAGGAUUCACUCCUUGUGGGUAUGAAAACGAUACUUAAAGUAUUGAAAUUCCAAGCCAUUUGUUUCCUAUAAUAAUAAUAAUAAUAACUUUAUUUUUAUACCCCGCCUCUAUCUCCCCAAAGGGGACUCAGGGCGGCUUACAUGGGGCCAAGCCCGAAUAAAAACAAUAGCAAUAUAAAACACAACAAUAGACAAAAAAAAGCAUGCACAAUUAUAAACAUUUAAACAUUAGCCAGUAAAAACAAAUGACAAGAGCUAAUAAAAACAUGGAUUAAAAUGGAGAGGUUGUAAAAGCAGACUGGGUAAGGUGCACCAUAUAAAUAUUGUAAACAUGAGGUGACUGAUAAAGUGCUGCAAAUUCUUGGAAGUGCAAAUUGGGAUGGGAAUAGACCCUGUGUCUUUAUCAAGGAAUGGUACAGGAAUGGUCGCAGAUACAGAUUGCUAUGGGGAUGAGCAAUCUUUAACUAAAGGCCUGAGUAAAGAGCCAGGUUUUCAAGGAGGUUUUCCUAGAACUUUAAUUCAGAGUCAAAGCAUAUUGGCAGUUGCUGCAAUGCUUUUUAGCCUGGCAUUAUAUUUGCCUCCCUCUUCUCCUGGCACUCCUGAUAUCCUAGGCUUUUGGGUACAACCUGGAGACUUGGCAUUGCAGCUGUAAGAAGUAAGCAGCUGUGACACACAAAUGUUUUUUUUUCCGUUUGCCACCUCGUAUUGGCUUUUUUUAAUGCUCUUGGUUUGACUGGAUGAAAAGAAGUUGAUGUUCCAAUUCUCAAUAAUAGAAUUAAUGGGUAUGGAGACAGAUCUGGGAUUUAGUCAGAUCAAGUUGGAAGGUUCAUGAAUAAAAAGGGCCCCUCAAACUCCUGCUGCAAAUAGCAAAAGACCUGUUCAUUUUCUUAUGGACUUCAUUAGCAUCUCUGUUUCCUAGCAACCACCUGCAGCUCCUUGGCAGUCCAAAAAAGAUUAGCAAGAUAGACGUGGAAGGAAUCGCGCUCUCCUGGGAGAGACGGCAGAUUUCUCUUCUUGAAAGUGUCAACUUUGCUAUCCUUGGAAGAGGUUUCCAUGUUCCAGUAUCCAGCUCCUAGCCUUGUUUUUCUGCCUUGUUCCGGUGCUUGGUCCCCAGAGUAAACCUUGCCGAGUAAACCUUGCCUUGUUUACCUUGCUUUCCUUUUUCCUGAGUCAAGACUUUCCAUCCAAGCCAUGCCCUGUGACUCUUGAGUAGACUUUGCUUUGUUUACCUUGCUUUCCUUUUUCCUGAGUCAAGACUCUCCAAGUGGAUUACAGUUUGCAGAUUUGCAGCAUCUUGUUUCUGUUUCUUGGUUCAUGGACUAACUUUGAUUUCUUAGUGGAACUAUAGAGUUUUUCUUGAACUGUUAAAGACUUUACAUUAAGGACUAUUUCUCAUACUGACUUUAUACACUAACUGCACAUAGAUAUAUAUAUUCCAUAAUAAACUGCUUUGCGUGUGA